CUUGAAAACAAACCAAAAUGACUGAGAGACUAAACCAGGGUAAUCAACACUGUAUAACACGCUUCCAAAUGACGGAUUUCAGAGUCAAAAAAGGCUUUUGGGGAGAUCGGUGAGAGAGAGGACACGAUGCUGUAAACUGGGCGAGGAACGGACCCCAAGCAGGAAUCCAAGGCCAGGAGGUACCCCGAGGAGAGGAGACGAAGAUAGAGGUGCUUGGUUGACCACUUCGAGUGGUCCUGAGCUGUGAGUCGAGGAGUUCGGAGGGGAUCGAAUGGUGGCCAGAAGACUUCAGUAAUUGAGUUCCAACAGUUGUGCACGAAGUGGUUUGGACUUUGAUAAGUUUGGCGCCUUUUCUUUAUUUUCUUUUCCUUCAUGUAUACUGUAUCAUUAUUAAUUACUUAGUUAUAGUAAUCUUUAUAAACUGUAAUCAUUUAAUCACA